rnacentral:rRNA from 1 species
UACGUAGGGACCAAGCGUUGUUCGGAUUUACUGGGCGUAAAGGGCGCGUAGGCGGCAAUUCAAGUCAUCUGUGAAAUCUCCGGGCUUAACUCGGAACGGUCAGAUGAUACUGCUUUGCUCGAGUGCGGAAGGGGCAAUCGGAAUUCUUGGUGUAGCGGUGAAAUGCGUAGAUAUCAAGAGGAACACCUGAGGUGAAGACGGGUUGCUGGGCCGACACUGACGCUGAAGCGCGAAAGCCAGGGGAGCAAACGGG